UGAGAUCUGAUGGUUUUAUAAAGAGGAGUUCCCCUGCACAAGCUCCCUCUCUUGCCUGCCACCAUGUAAGAAGUCCCUUUGGUCUUCCUUUGUCUUCUGCCGUGAUUGUGAGGCCUCCCCAGCCAUGUGGAACGGUACUCAAACUGUGGCCCAAGUGCUGGUAGCAUUAGCAUCAACUGGAAGCUUGUUAGAAAUGUAGAAUCUCAGAUCUCACCCCAGAAUGGACUAUGGACUCAGAAUCUGCAUUUUAAUAAGAUUCACAAUUCACAGUAUAAAAUAAUAAGAUGGCUGAUCCUGCAAAGAGGCGCGGUGACAUCAACAGUGACUCAGUCUCUAUGAUGGUAUUAGUAACUGGCAGCUGACUCUCCUAUUUAUCAUCAAGUUAUGUUCCAAAUAAGACUUUCAAGUCUGAGAAAAAUGACAAAUCCCUUCCAGGCAUGGUUCAAGUUAAAGCUGAAACUGUGUCUUCGUUUCAGCUCAAGAGAGGUUUUGAUUGUGUCGUGGCUUUUCCUUGUGUAUUGGUUGAGGAACUGUGCCUUGGAGGGGCGGGGAGUCUUGAGAAUGGGUCAACUGAUGGAGGGGGAGUGGAAGACAUUGGUUGCCCAAGAAAAUAUGUCAACAUCUGUCCAUCACUGCAACUCCGGCCUGAUUAUCAUUUUUUCUGCUUCUGUAAGCACCAAUGAGACAAUGCCACUGAACCACAUUCUUUGUUGCCUGCAGUAUUUCCCACCACUGCGCCACCUCUGAUAUGCUAAUGAGGAAGCCCAGGGUUUUGUGUGGCUGAAAAGCCUUUCAGGCACAAUCAGUGGGUCAACAAUCUCAACUCUGUACAGCGGCUCAGCCUGCUCUGUGAGAGGCUCCUCUUUCGGAGGGGUCCUUCCUCACACCUUUUCUGUGAGUGCGUCUGUGCUUAAGGAAGGGCAAUUAACCAUCUGGCUGCUUGUCCCCUGGAGAAAUUGACAGAACAUCAAACAGAAUAAACUCAUACCUUGAAAACUGCCAAGUGGCACAUGACUGUCCGGUUCACUGUGGGGAGAAGCCACUAACCAAUGGUCUGAAUCUAAAAAUGACCCAGUGGCACCGGUUUGUAGUAAAACUUUGAAGAUAGAACUCCAUGCAAAUUCUGACUCCAUAGUGCUGGUUCUUGAUGUAAAUCUCCCAAUGUAACUGUCAAGGUUUAAAAAUAUCUUACGUAGGUGUUCAGAAUCAUAAGGUCAUAGAAUUAUAAAAUGUUAACCGGCAGAAGUAUUUUCAUCUUUGUCAUACGAAAAAGAGUAAUUUGCUCAUAAUAAGCCUUCAAUAUUUAUGUAUUGGAUUGCAAUUAACAGGAAUCAAAGGAAUCUUAUAAGGAUCAUUUAUCUAGAAUAAUCUCUAUUUUCUAGAAUUACUUAAUGAUCAUUGUCUUUAUUCAGCCUAAGUAACAUUGAAAUUUUUCUUCAUUCAAAUAAAUUCAUACUCAUGAAGCCUUUCCCCACUUUUCAUUUCAUAUUCUGUUUCUACUAGUAUUGUUAACCAUUGCAAAGAAAUACUGUUGCCCUCCAUUAAAACCUGAACUGC
rnacentral:lncRNA from 1 species